AUAGAGAAGCUUACUUUAGAGGCUUGUCACAUGAAUAUCCAUUGCUCCUUUUCCUUUUUCAUUCCCACAUAUUGAACAGAUAAGAUUUCUGGGGUUCCGAUUCUUCUGAGUCCUUUUUGUUACGAGAAAGAGUGCGAUGAUGAAGAAGCUGGCGAAAUGGAAGGUAGCCACAUUUCUUGCUCUAGCUUUAAUAGUAACAGCUUUAAUGUCGGCAACUUCUGUAGAAGCCAAGAGUUUCAGAGGCGGCGGAGGUGUUGGCAAUCACGGCGGAAGAUUCCACCGUCAAGCUGGAGGGAGACGCUCUUCCUCCUCAUCGUCCAUCUCCGGCGAUCAACUUUCCGAAUUUACGGAGUUAAUGGGUUCUACAUUCACCUUAGCUAUCUUUGAAGAAUGCAAUUCUUUACAAUUCUCCAGCCACCAUCGGUAGUGGUCCAACCUGCUGCCGAAGCUUUGACAAUGGAGAUCCAGUGGCUACUAUCAUCAGUAGGCUUCGGUUACUGACAGUGGUGCUCCAGCAACUGUGAGAGAAUACGAUGAAGCUGCUCAGGAAAUGGAAGGAGUCACAUUGCUUGCUUUAGCUCUAACAGUAACGGCUGCAGUGUCAGCAGCUUCUGUAGAAGCUAAGAGUUUCAGAGGUGGCGGAGGUGGUGGCAAUCAUAGAGGAAGAUUCAGCCAUCAAGCUGGAGGAAAGUGGUUUUCCUCCUCAUCGUCCAUCUCCUACGGUCAUAUUUCCGAAUUUAGAUUUAUAGUUCGAAUACUUACUGCCAUUUCUAUGUACUUUGU